CACAAAGUAUAGUUUUCCAUCCCUGUCAGUUGAAUCCCAAUAGAUAAUUCACCUAGCACGUUUGAUGAGCUCAGGUACAAUGGAUGAUUGUGAUCAAUCACCAGUGAACCGCCAUUGACAGGCUCUCCAGCUCUGGUAUUCAAUCCACCCAAUGAUGCAUCUUCAAUCGCCAUUUGAGCACAAUUCUAGCAAAAUCUCUCAAUUUUCCAUCGAAAAGUGUGCGAUAAAUCCCU
rnacentral:lncRNA from 1 species